AUAAUCCAGGUCUUGGAGGUAACAUCCCAAUAAAAACAUGGUCUUUGCCACUUCUGCAGAAUUUCUCAGCUUCAGCUUGUAACAUCUCAGGCAAUAUUCCUCCUUUCCAUUCCUGUAAAUCUGUUUCUGUUAUUGAACUGCACAAGAACAAUCUAUCAGGAAAUCUCCCAGUUAGCAUCUCUAAUUGUCGGGCUCUUGGGAAGAUAGAUUUAGCUAAUAAUAAGUUUACAGGAAAUAUACCUGAAGAGCUUGCAAGUCUUCCAGCUUUAAGUUUCAUUGACUUAUCACGUAAUAACUUCAGUGGUUCAAUACCGGUAAAGUUUGGUGAAUCUUCAAGCUUAGUUCUUCUUAACGUGUCGUUUAAUGAUAUCUC
rnacentral:lncRNA from 1 species